UACAGAGGGGGCAAGCGUUGUUCGGAAUUACUGGGCGUAAAGGGCGCGUAGGCGGCCCGCUAAGUCGAACGUGAAAUCCCCGGGCUCAACCCGGGAACUGCGUCCGAUACUGGAUGGCUUGAAUCCGGGAGAGGGAUGCGGAAUUCCAGGUGUAGCGGUGAAAUGCGUAGAUAUCUGGAGGAACACCGGUGGCGAAGGCGGCAUCCUGGACCGGUAUUGACGCUGAGGCGCGAAAGCCAGGGGGAGCAAACGGG
rnacentral:rRNA from 1 species